UGGAUUUGGAUUUGGAUUUGGUGUUCGCUUGGCUUCCCUCCUGUUGCUGUUGGGUUGACGUCCUUUUUCUCUCUCUUUCUGCCCUGCCCUGCUUUUGUUCUGUUGCCCGUUGGGACUUGGGUUUUCAAUAUAUAUAUAUUCUUUACCUAGUUGCAAAUGACAUGUGUGUUCACUUCGUGUUUGCUUUUCCUUUACUGUUUCUCUCUCUUUCUAUCUCUCUCUCUCUCCCCCCUUUCAGCAGUUUCCUCCAUUGCAAACCAAGCUUCCAUUCAAGCUUUCUGAGGGGCCCCUAUCUAUUCUCCACAUACAUACAAGACCCACUAACCAUUUCACCCAUCUCUGCCUUUUUCCCCAAAAAUCAUCCAUUUUAUAUUAAAGUCUCUCUUUCUUUCUCUGUACACAUUUGCUUUUGAACAUUAGAUUUUUCUCUGGCUUCCUUUGCCGUUUCUUUUUAUCAUUCACCGAGUUUUUUUUUGCCACCACUUGUGCUUCUAAACUACUCAUCUAUGCAACUGUGCCUUUUUAGGCCUCUGGUUUGGUGGGUUUGUAUUAUUUGAAGACUGACGUCUACAUUGGGCCAUCUAUGCUUAUUGAAUUUCACUUGCAUCCAAAAAGGGAAGCCCUUUCUUUGCUUUUGUUGAUGCUCGAGGAAGAAGAUCAAGGGGGCUAGCUUAUACCCUUGGAUCGCUGCAAAGGUGGGCAUGUGUUGAUUUAUUGGCAUAUUAAGCGUGACCACCAAAUACAAUUUUGACUGUGGAGGAUCACAGAUGUCGUCUGAGAGUCUGAAUGCAGAAUUAUCAAAGAAGACAUCAAUUUUGGGUUUAAAAUUGUGGGUGUUAAUUGGAGUAUCUGUUGGAGCUUUUAUAAUUUUGAUUCUCUGUAUCCUGUCUGUAUGGGUUACGUUUCGGCGGAGAACUAGAAGAUCAGUGGACAAGUUCUCACUUUGUCAAAUACCAAAUGUGUCGAAGGAUAUCAAUGUUGACAGGGUUGGGGCUCAGAGUUUCAAUGAUCACCCCGGAAGUUUAUACCUCACCGUCCAUGAUAAAUCAACAGAUAAGAACUCAGAAAAGACACCAGUUUUGGGAAUGAGCAAAUCGAGUGAUGCUGAUAACAUCAGCCAAACUAGUUCAAUUUAUCAUCAUGAAAGAGGAUUUAGUUCGCACUCAGGGGAAGAAGGAAGCUCUGGGACUGUGAAGAAGCAGUCUUCAUUGUCAUAUGCAGGACUUGUGACAGCCUCCCCUUUAGUUGGCCUGCCAGAAAUUUCACAUCUUGGAUGGGGCCACUGGUUCACUCUCAGGGAUCUUGAGUUUGCAACAGACCGUUUUGCAGCAGAGAAUGUGAUUGGUGAGGGUGGUUAUGGGAUUGUUUAUAGGGGUAGGCUAAUCAAUGGAACUGAGGUAGCUGUGAAGAAGCUUCUUAACAAUCUGGGACAAGCAGAGAAAGAAUUUAGGGUUGAAGUGGAGGCUAUCGGCCAUGUUCGACACAAGAACCUAGUGCGGCUUCUUGGCUACUGUAUUGAAGGAGUGCACAGGAUGCUGGUGUAUGAAUAUGUGAACAAUGGGAAUUUAGAACAAUGGCUACAUGGAGCAAUGUGCCAUCAUGGUACCCUUACAUGGGAGGCCCGCAUGAAGGUUCUUCUUGGCACUGCUAAGGCGUUAGUUCAUAUCUCUACUCAGCCAUUUUAGAUAUUUUAUUUGAACCUCCAUCAUAUAAAUGGCAAGGAUUUGGCUCCCCCACUUACUGAUUCUGUACAAUGAUGAAAAAAUUGCUUUACAAAUCCUAUUGCAGGCUUGCCUAUUUGCAUGAAGCGAUUGAACCAAAGAUUGUUCACCGAGACAUAAAGUCAAGCAAUAUCUUGAUUGAUGAUGAGUUUAAUGCUAAGGUUUCUGAUUUUGGAUUGGCCAAGCUCCUAGGUUCAGGAGAAAGCCACAUCACAACUAGAGUUAUGGGUACAUUUGGUUAUGUUGCACCAGAAUAUGCUAAUACCGGGUUGUUAAAUGAGAGGAGUGACAUUUACAGCUUUGGUGUACUGCUGCUAGAAGCAGUUACAGGAAGGGACCCUGUGGACUAUGGCCGACCUGCUAAUGAGGUCAAUCUUGUUCAGUGGCUAAAGAUGAUGGUGGGGACAAGAAGAGCUGAGGAAGUUCUGGACCCAAAUCUUGAAGUUAAACCAACAACACGAGCUUUAAAACAUGCUCUUUUGGUUGCACUUAGAUGCGUUGAUCCUGAUGCAGAAAAGAGACCCAAAAUGAGUCAGGUCGUGCGAAUACUUGAAGGAGAUGAGUACCCGUUUCAUGAGGAUCGAAGGAACAGAAAGAGCCGUACUACAAGCAUUGAAAUUGAAUCCAUGAAGGAAUCAGUUGACAUAGAAAACAAGGUGGAAGAUUCAGAGAGCAAUUUCUCUGAAACAAACCAUAGAUAGGACUGACAGAAAUGAUCCAGGAGAGUUGCUUUUUCAUCUAUUAGAUUCAAAGCGCUAAAAUUUCAGUCUUGAGUUCCCUGUAUCCAAAGGAGGAAGUGGAUACAAGAUAGCCUACUUAGAUUGUGGAGUAAUGGCCAUCUCUUUUGUUGGAUUUUCCUUUAUCACUAUGGGUUGAUGAAGAGGUGUUUUUGAUGACAGAAAAUAGGUAACAAUAGUUGGACAAGGGGAAAGAGAGUUUCUUCCUUCUUGUACAGAUGUUUCUGAGGCUCAAUUGGCUUUGCUUUGUAUCUACACAUGAUUACACUUAUUUUGUCUAUUGUGCUUGGGAUGGUGAAAGACUUGUUUGGUCUCACAUUCCUUUUAUACUUAUUAUGUUGUCUUAAAUUAAUUAUUUUGUAUUAGGCAUCAAUGCCUUUUUAUUGAUUCAAUCAAUGUUAUCUUUAUAUGUUGGCAUCUUAAA
rnacentral:misc_RNA from 1 species